AACCGGCGACCCCGGCGGUUUUCCUCUCUCCCUCGUGCCUAAUCCGUGACCAAGGGAAGAAGUCGACGCCACUCCACCCAGCGCCGCCGGUCCAAAAAGCCCUAGCGCCGGUGCCCUAGCGCCCAGCAGUGCUCGGCAUCUCCUGGCACAACCUGACCUCUCCCUCUCGGUGUGUUGCUGUCGCGUCGCCGCCGGCCGAGCUAUUCUCCUCAGUCCUACUUCUCCGGCCAACUUCUCCUCUCGGACUUGCGAUCCCCUCAUUUCUUUCCUCACCGGCGCACAUCUUCGACCAGGGGCAGAGCCGAGCCCUAGCCUCGCCUUCUUCUGGUUUUCUUGCGUUGUGCCCUAGGUUUUCUCUUGCUGUUGGAUCCGAACAAAACAGUAGUGAGUAUCAGACAGGAGCAAGCAGUGACGAGUUCUUCUUGUGUCUCUGCUUGAUAGUGCCGAAGACAAUACCGAGCUGUGUUUUAGCCGGAUCUUGGAGGGUACUAGAAUUCCAGAAGAGGAUAAAUUGCUAUGGGGUUUUUCUUAGAUCUGGCAGUCACUGCUUCCAGCAAA